AUGUCCGGUCUUAAAGUGAAUUUUCAAAAAAUUGAGGUUUUGACGAUUGGGGGAGAUGCUGAUAUCGAUAGUAAAUAUGCUGAGAUAUUCAAUUGUGAGAUUGGACACUUCCCAAUCAAAUACCUCGGUAUGCCUGUGAGCUUUUCUGCACUAAAGGAUUCGGUGUCGGAGUUCAUUGUGGAGAAAUACUUGAAAAAUUUUGGGACCUGGAUUGGUAAUGCUGCAUCCAUUGGAGGCAGACUUACGCUGCUCACCUCGGUGUUGUCUCAACUUUCUCUCUAUCAUAUGUCUAUGUGGCUUAUGAGUAAAACCUUUGUAGAAAAGUUGGACAAACACCGUAGGAAAUUCUUCUGGCAAGGUUGCAAUAAGAAGAAUAGAUACUAUUUGGUUAAGUGGAGGAGAGUCUGUAGAUCUAAAGAUAAAGGAGGAUUGGGGGUAAAAGACCUCAGAAAGCAGAAUAUUAGUCUCAUGGUGAAGUGGUGGUGGAAGCUAGAAACCCAAACUAGGGUUUGGCAAGAUCUGGUGAGAGCGAGAUAUUUAGCUAACAAGUCGAUGCCGACUGUGACACCUAGGCAAUCUGAUUCCCCAUGUUGGAAAGCUCUUCUGAAGAUCAGAGAGUUGUACAUGGUGGGGAGGAGAAUCAAGCUGGGACGUGGUGACUUAACCAGGGUGUGGAAAGAUUCAAUCAAUGGGCUUCCGCCACUGAAUUUGAAGUUCCCUCAGCUGUUUGAGAUCUGUACAGAUCAAGACUGUGUGGUGGAAAAAGUUGGUAAGGUAAAUGCCUCGACCUUCUUUCGACGUCGCCUAUGCCCUAACCUAAGUAGUCAA
rnacentral:rRNA from 1 species